UACAGAGGGGGCUAGCGUUAUUCGGAAUUAUUGGGCGUAAAGGGCGCGUAGGCGGCCAUGCGUGUCUUCCGUGAAAUCCCUCGGCUUAACUGAGGACGUGCGGAAGAAACUGCAAGGCUCGAGUCCGGGAGAGGGAGGUGGAAUUCCCAGUGUAGCGGUGAAAUGCGUAGAUAUUGGGAGGAACACCGGUGGCGAAGGCGGCCCCCUGGACCGGUACUGACGCUGAGGCGCGAAAGCGUGGGUAGCAAACGGG
rnacentral:rRNA from 1 species